AAUAAUUUAUUACUAAAAACUCAUAUAAUCUGAAGAAUAUGGCUUUGGAAGUUUCUACCGUGUUGCCUUAAACGACACGACUAUGAGUAAAUGAAUAACACUG
rfam:Staphylococcus aureus C0673 genomic scaffold aedLz-supercont1.7, whole genome shotgun sequence.